rnacentral:misc_RNA from 1 species
UAUUCUCAACCCUCCUGCAUUUUUUAUUAAACGCGGUUGGGCUUGGACUUGGAGGCUUUGCUGGUGUCUGAAUAUUUUUUUAUUCGGACGUGGGCUCCUCUGAAAUGCAUUAGCUUGAAUAAAUCCAAGCAUGAUCCAGUGUGAUAAUUGUCUACGCUGCUUCAUCUCGGAAUAAAAAAAAUUCUAGCUUCUAAUCGUCCUUCGGGACUUACUCUGAAC